UAGGGGAAUCUUCGGCAAUGGACGAAAGUCUGACCGAGCAACGCCGCGUGAGUGAAGAAGGUUUUCGGAUCGUAAAACUCUGUUGUUAGAGAAGAACAAGGGUGAGAGUAACUGUUCACCCCUUGACGGUAUCUAACCAGAAAGCCACGGCUAACUACGUGCCAG
rnacentral:rRNA from 1 species